GGGAAUGCGUCAAAGCUGGAGAGUUGAGUUGGUCUGUAAAACCAAUGCAAUAGCUGAAAAGGUUCGAAUCCUUUCAUUCCCA
rnacentral:tRNA from 1 species